rnacentral:rRNA from 1 species
AGCCGCCGCGGGAAUACGAAGGGGGCUAGCGUUGCUCGGAAUUACUGGGCGUAAAGGGAGCGUAGGCGGGUCGUUUAGUCAGAGGUGAAAUCCCGGGGCUCAACCUCGGAACUGCCUUUGAUACUGGCGACCUUGAGUAUGGGAGAGGUGAGUGGAACUCCGAGUGUAGAGGUGAAGUUCGUAGAUAUUCGCAAGAACACCAGUGGCGAAGGCGGCUUACUGGCUCGAAACUGACGCUGAGGCGCGAAAGCGUGGGGAGCAAACAGGAUUAGAUACCCCAGUAGUCCCUGUCUCUUAUACC